AGCAGCCGCGGUAAUUCCAGCUCCAAUAGCGUAUAUUAAAGUUGUUGCAGUUAAAAAGCUCGUAGUUGAAUUUCGGGAUCAAUAUGUUGGUCGUGCCUCGGUACGUACUAGCUUAUUGGUUUCUCCUUUCUGAAGAACCAUGAUGUCAUUUAUUUGGUGUCGUGGGGAAUCAGGACUGUUACUUUGAAAAAAUUAGAGUGUUUAAAGCAGGCUCACGCUUGAAUACAUUAGCAUGGAAUAAUGAAAUAGGACGUUUGAUUCUAUUUUGUUGGUUUCUAGGAUCGACGUAAUGAUUAAUAGGGAUAGUUGGGGGCAUUAGUAUUCAAUUGUCAGAGGUGAAAUUCUUGGAUUUAUUGAAGACUAACUACUGCGAAAGCAUUUGCCAAGGAUGUUUUCAUUAAUCAAGAACGAAAGUUAGGGGAUCGAAGACGAUCAGAUACCGUCGUAGUCUUAACCAUAAACUAUGCCGACUAGGGAUCGGAUGAUGUUAAUUUUUUAAUGUACUCAUUCGGCGCCUUAA
rnacentral:rRNA from 1 species